GUGAAUCAUCAAAUUUUUGAACGCAAAUUGCACUCUCUGGUAUUCCGGAGAGUAUGCCUGUUUGAGGGUCAGUUUAAAUAACACUCGGUGUGUUUGCUGCCUUUCGUGGUGACGCACCGGCUUUGGGUCGUCUUGCCUUCGGUUAAGUGACCUACAAUUUUGCAUGCUUUUUUCGAACGUCUUUAAAUUAUUUUACGUACGUUUGCGCUAUCGAAUACUAGGUUUCGUCAUCCUCAUGCUUCGCGCCUAUAAUUUUUCAUCAAACUGCCCUCAACUCAUGUACGAGUACC
rnacentral:misc_RNA from 1 species